CAGUCGCCACGGGAAUACGGAGGGGGCUAGCGUUGUUCGGAAUUACUGGGCGUAAAGCGCACGUAGGCGGCUUCUUAAGUCGGAUGUGAAAUCCCUGAGCUUAACUUAGGAAUUGCAUUCGAUACUGGGAAGCUAGAGUAUGGGAGAGGAUGGUAGAAUUCCAGGUGUAGCGGUGAAAUGCGUAGAGAUCUGGAGGAAUACCGAUGGCGAAGGCAGCCAUCUGGCCUAAUACUGACGCUGAGGUACGAAAGCAUGGGGAGCAAACAGGAUUAGAUACCCCCGUAGUCCCUGUCUCUUAUAC
rnacentral:rRNA from 1 species